GACAGAGGGUGCAAACGUUGUUCGGAAUUACUGGGCGUAAAGCGCGUGUAGGUGGCUAUGUGUGUCGGGCGUGAAAUCCCAUGGCUCAACCAUGGAAGUGCACCCGAAACUGCAUAGCUAGAGUCCUGGAGAGGGAAGGUGGAAUGCUUGGUGUAGAGGUGAAAUUCGUAGAUAUCAAGCGGAACACCGGUGGCGAAGGCGGCCUUCUGGACAGUGA
rnacentral:rRNA from 1 species